rnacentral:rRNA from 1 species
AUUGAACGCUGGCGGCAGGCCUAACACAUGCAAGUCGAACGGUAACAGAAAGCAGCUUGCUGCUUUGCUGACGAGUGGCGGACGGGUGAGUAAUGUCUGGGAAACUGCCUGAUGGAGGGGGAUAACUACUGGAAACGGUAGCUAAUACCGCAUAACGUCGCAAGACCAAAGAGGGGGACCUUCGGGCCUCUUGCCAUCGGAUGUGCCCAGAUGGGAUUAGCUAGUAGGUGGGGUAACGGCUCACCUAGGCGACGAUCCCUAGCUGGGCUGAGAGGAUGACCAGCCACACUGGAACUGAGACACGGUCCAGACUCCUACGGGAGGCAGCAGUGGGGAAUAUUGCACAAUGGGCGCAAGCCUGAUGCAGCCAUGCCGCGUGUAUGCAGAAGGCCUUCGGGUUGUAAAGUACUUUCAGCGAGGAGGAAGGUGUUGUGGUUAAUAACCACAGCAAUUGACGUUACUCGCAGAAGAAGCACCGGCUAACUCCGUGCCAGCCGCCGCUGUAA